rnacentral:snRNA from 1 species
UUUUUUUUUUGUAAAAUA